rnacentral:rRNA from 1 species
UACAUGUGGGGCAAGCGUUGUUCGGAAUUACUGGGCAUAAAGGGUGCGUAGGCGGCUUGUUAAGUCAGGGGUGAAAGUUUUCGGCCCAACCGGAAAAUUGCCUUUGAUACUGGCGAGCUGGAGUGCGUGAGGGGUGACCGGAACGAGUGGUGUAGCGGUGAAAUGCGUAGAUAUCACUCGGAAGGCCAACGGCGAAGGCAGGUCACUGGUGCGUAACUGACGCUGAGGCACGAAAGCGUGGGGAGCAAACAGG